GAAGUGCGAUAAGUGUCAUGACUUGCAGAUUCCCGAGAGCUGACAAAUUUCUGAGUGUCAUGUUCAGACUCAAAAUCGAGCCCUCAGAAAAGCCUUUUUUGAUCAGAUGAUUAAUCAUCUGAGAGAGGAAGGUGACUUCGGACAUAAUCAUAUAUUUAAUAUCUAUAGAGAUAAAGAUAUUCUUUAUCUCUCUAUAUAAAUAUAUUGAAAAUGAAUGAAGUUCUACGUAGUUAAAAACUCUAUAGGAAAUCUACCUCUACUAUGCAGGAGAACCCGCUGAACUUAA
rnacentral:misc_RNA from 1 species